rnacentral:lncRNA from 1 species
UUCACAAUAGCAAAGACCUGGAACCAACCCAAAUGUCCAACAAUGAUAAAGUGGAUUAAGAAAAUGUGGCGAAGAUGGCCGAAUAGGAACAGCUCCGGUCUACAGCUCCCAGCGUGAGCGACGCAGAAGACAGUUAUCUGGCACUGGAACUCAAAUCCAGAUUGGAACCCUUAUCUGGCCCUUGGACAAAACAGUCAAUCCUUUCUGCAUGCGUAGAAACCUUUGUCUGAUCUUCAGUUGACUUACUUUUUUGGGUAUUUGGUGGCGAGUUCAACUUCUGGCCUAACACUGUGUAGAAAUUUGCACUGAGGCAUGGCGAGGACAUAUUUUCUUCCUAUGUUUCUGGCUGUAGUCUCUAAGGCUGGGUUAUAAUUCCAGGCUGCUUUUGAAAGACAUCUCCUGGGCUGGCUGUUUAUCUUCCUGGCUCCCUGUUUUCAGUGGGAAUUCACUUCCUAACUCCUGUGCUGGAAUGUUCACUCUGGCUUCUUGUGAGACCUCUUCAUUCUAUUUGAACUUACUCUUCCCACAGGAACUCCACAGUUAAACCCCUUUUGGGUUCCUACUCUCUAUAUAUACUAUGACACUAACCAUGUCUGCUUCUAUUUUAGGCAAAAUGACUUUACUGUGGAUAAUUCGGAACUGCAAUGGUUUAUUUGAAAAUCUUAAGAUCUGCCUAAAGUGGCUCUUAUAGGACUGCUCCCUUCCCAUUUCCUUCUUUUUUCCUUCUUUCUUUUACCAUCUUAACUUUUUCCAUUGAACUCCCCUGACACUUUGAUAUGCACCUCUUUUCCAUUAAACACCCCUGACUUUUGAUAUAUACCCAUCCUUUUACCCCUACCAGAUGUUUCACUUACCUCUUUAGCCCCUCGACUCCCUAUAGUCACUGGAACGUAUGCCUCCUGAUUCACAGGGGGUUCUCGAGAGACUGAUGCACACACAAAGCAACACACGGGGCUUCCUGGAAACAGAGAUAUAAUCUACAGCCUGUGUAAGAUUACAUUUUAGGUGAAAAACCCACAAAUACCCCAAAAUAUGUUACUAAUUAAAAUCUGUCCUCACUACCUUAACCAGUGUCUGGGCUUUACCUUUGAAACUGGUGUCCUUAUUUAAAAAAAGUUGGACAUGCACCCAGGAAUAUUAUCUUUUGAAGAUAAAGGAAUAGAUUGAAGUAAUGCUACUUCAAGCCAAGGAAUGCCAAAGGUUGUCAUCAAACUACCAGAAUGCUAUGGUACGCAUAGCAAAUGAAUACAUCAGCUUUCAACAACAUCAUCAAAAAUUACAAGUCAUGGUAGCAGGCAAAAAAUAUGCUUUAAAAAGAAAAACAAAAUUAGAAAAGGACUUGGACAUGGCAAGCCAAUCAUGUGAUUUCUUGAUGUUUCUUCUGUGUUUUCUGCCUAGAAAAACCCACUGCACUCACUGCUGGGUGGAUCUAUCUGAACCUCUUAUGGCUCUGAGUGCCAUCUGAAAAAGAUGAUGGUUCCCUUUACCUUGAGUCGUUUUCCCCAGAUACACUAGAACCCAUUAUUUCAGUUCUUUUAGGUCUCUUCUGUGCUAUUCGAUUAUCAGAAAAGAUUUCAAUGACCAAUGAAUAAAAAUGACUGAUCUGUCCCUUA